rnacentral:rRNA from 1 species
AACGAACGCUGGCGGCAGGCCUAACACAUGCAAGUCGAACGAGAAGCCACCUUCGGGUGGUGGAAAGUGGCAGACGGGUGAGUAACGCGUGGGAACGUGCCUUUCGGUUCGGGAUGACCCAGGGAAACUUGGGCUAAUACCGGAUACGCCCUCCGGGGGAAAGAUUCAUUGCCGAAAGAUCGGCCCGCGUCGGAUUAGCUAGUUGGUGGGGUAAUAACCUACCAAGGCGACGAUCCGUAGCUGGUCUGAGAGGAUGACCAGCCACACUGGGACUGAGACACGGCCCAGACUCCUACGGGAGGCAGCAGUGGGGAAUAUUGGACAAUGGGCGAAAGCCUGAUCCAGCCAUGCCGCGUGGGUGAAGAAGGCCUUAGGGUUGUAAAUCCCUUUCAGCGGGGACGAUGAUGACGGUACCCGCAGAAGAAGUCCCGGCUAACUCCGUGCCAGCCGCCGCGGUAA